CGUUAGCUUGACAGUGUGAUAAUAUCUCUGACGGCCUCCAACCCGAGCUAACCUGGAAACUCUAGAAAACAUGGGAAAGAAGAGGGGUAAGCUUUCGCUUAGUAAGUUCAUAUAAAAACAAUAAGCAACUCAUUAACUUGUUUUAUCAAUGUUUACAACAUAUUUUAAAGUUCACUACAAGCUAUCUUUCUGAGCAACGGUCACUAAAUUAUUUAUAUCUGGAGCUACGAAACUCCGAAUUAAGUUUCGUUAAUUUUUCCUGAAACUAGACUUAUUUUCCUUUCUUCCAUAAAAUUUCCAGAAUUUUUGGUUAAGCAAAAUAGUACAGUUUAUUCCUCAAAAUUACCCCUGAUUCACUGUCUGACAGUUCCGACCCUUCUGUACUAAAGUUCAAUUAUCUCAUAGUACAAGACUCAAACAAUGUUCUCGUCUAUUUCUCUUUAAACUAGACUCAUAUGUAUACUUGCUAAUUUUUUUCUUGAAUUUUUGGUUGGGCCAAUUAGUACAGUUUAUUAGUUAAAUUCUCCCCUGUUUUAGGGUAUGACCACCCUGACCCCUGUGCACUACAAACCGAAUUUCUCCCUGUACAAAAUUCCAACGACCAUACCGUUUAUUUCCCAUAAAAAUAGACUCAAUAAGGAAUCCAUGAAUCUAAGGUAUGACUCUUAAUAAUUUGUGUACAAUUUUUUGUGAAUUUCUAAAGUCACAAUAGGGGAUCUCGAAUUCAUUCAGACCCUGUUUCACAAGAAUUCAAAUAUCACACAAUAUGGAAUUCUUUUUCUUCUCCUGUUUCUUUCAUGUGAAAAUAGACUCAUUAAGCUUUAAUCCCAUAUUUUAUUCUGCCUCUAACUCAUUUUUCACUAUUUUUAGUGUAUUUUCAAAGUUACACUACUACAGUAACUCAAAUCUGUCAAGGCUAAAUUACUCAUUCAUGAUCAUUAUUCACAAAAUUAAUACAACAUCGUUUGUAUAAUCAUCACCAAGACAUUCAGAUCACUUUUUCAUUUACCAUCUUAUCAUAUUGUUGUUAUGUCGAGUUUUCAACCUGAGGGUUAAGUACAUACCUGUUCAAAGUAUCCAUUUCACAACAUUUACCAAUACGUCCCUUUCAUCUCGAGUAUUCCUCCAUUUCAGUAGAAUUUUACCCGUUGAACACAUCGGAAUAUAAUUCGGAUACAUGGAAAGUUUGCACAUAAGUGCCACAUAUGUUGCCAAGCUACCAUGUAACCCGCCCAUAAGUAAACUCGGACUCAACUCAACGAGCUCGGGCGUUCGCAUCCAUAAGUGAACUCGGACUCAACUCAACGAGCUCGGAUGCCUAGUUACAUCUCACGAACUCGGACUCAACUCAACGAGUUCGAACAUUCGCAUCCAUAAGUGAACUCGGACUCAACUCAACGAGUUCGGAUGCUCAACCAUCCUAGUGACAUGUCACUUGUAUCCUAAUCUAUUCCUAAGGUUCAAACGGGAUUUUCCUUGAACACAAAUCCUUGCCAUCUUCCGUAAAAUACCGAAACUAAUACUCGGUAGCACUUUAUAUUUAACAUAUAAUACACAUAACUUGCAUUUUAUUCGAAAAUAACCACAAAGCAUAUAUUUCAUGAUAAAAAUCAGCAUAUCAUAUAUUUAACAUCAAUAACUUAAAAAUAACAAUUAUGCUACAUUAUUUACACAUGAACUUACCUCGAUACCACAAAGGUGAAAAGACAUACUCGUCCAUAAAUCGAUUUCUUUCCGUUCUAGGUCCAAAUCUCAAUUUUCAUCAUUAUAAAGGGAGUUUCUUUGUUGAAAGUUUCCAACUUCUAAACCCUUUCUUUGCUGCCAUUUUU
rnacentral:lncRNA from 1 species